rnacentral:rRNA from 1 species
GCCUUGGCGGCGUGCUUACACAUGCAAGUCGAACGAUGAAGCUGGGGCUUGCUCUGGUGGAUUAGUGGCGAACGGGUGAGUAACACGUGAGCAACCUGCCCUGGACUCUGGGAUAAGCGCUGGAAACGGCGUCUAAUACUGGAUACGAGACGUGGCCGCAUGGUCAACGUUUGGAAAGAUUUUUCGGUCUGGGAUGGGCUCGCGGCCUAUCAGCUUGUUGGUGAGGUAAUGGCUCACCAAGGCGUCGACGGGUAGCCGGCCUGAGAGGGUGACCGGCCACACUGGGACUGAGACACGGCCCAGACUCCUACGGGAGGCAGCAGUGGGGAAUAUUGCACAAUGGGCGGAAGCCUGAUGCAGCAACGCCGCGUGAGGGAUGACGGCCUUCGGGUUGUAAACCUCUUUUAGCAGGGAAGAAGCGUGAGUGACGGUACCUGCAGAAAAAGCGCCGGCUAACUACGUGCCAGCAGCCGCGGUAAUACGUAGGGCGCAAGCGUUAUCCGGAAUUAUUGGGCGUAAAGAGCUCGUAGGCGGUUUGUCGCGUCUGCUGUGAAAUCCCGAGGCUCAACCUCGGGCCUGCAGUGGGUACGGGCAGACUAGAGUGCGGUAGGGGAGAUUGGAAUUCCUGGUGUAGCGGUGGAAUGCGCAGAUAUCAGGAGGAACACCGAUGGCGAAGGCAGAUCUCUGGGCCGUAACUGACGCUGAGGAGCGAAAGGGUGGGGAGCAAACAGGCUUAGAUACCCUGGUAGUCCACCCCGUAAACGUUGGGAACUAGUUGUGGGGUCCUUUCCACGGAUUCCGUGACGCAGCUAACGCAUUAAGUUCCCCGCCUGGGGAGUACGGCCGCAAGGCUAAAACUCAAAGGAAUUGACGGGGACCCGCACAAGCGGCGGAGCAUGCGGAUUAAUUCGAUGCAACGCGAAGAACCUUACCAAGGCUUGACAUACACGAGAACGGGCCAGAAAUGGUCAACUCUUUGGACACUCGUGAACAGGUGGUG